rnacentral:rRNA from 1 species
UACCAGCACCCCGAGUGGUCGGGACGUUUAUUGGGCCUAAAGCAUCCGUAGCCGGUUCUACAAGUCUUCCGUUAAAUCCACCUGCUUAACAGAUGGGCUGCGGAAGAUACUAUAGAGCUAGGAGGCGGGGGAGGCAAGCGGUACUCGAUGGGUAGGGGUAAAAUCCGUUGAUCCAUUGAAGACCACCAGUGGCGAAGGCGGCUUGCCAGAACGCGCUCGACGGUGAGGGAUGAAAGCUGGGGGAGCAAACCGG